GAGUUUGAUCCUGGCUCAGGAUGAACGCUAGCGGGAGGCUUAAUACAUGCAAGUCGAACGGUAAGGUCAGCCUUUGGUUGAUACACGAGUGGCGCACGGGUGAGUAACGCGUACACAACUUACCCUUAAGCGGGGGAUACCCUUGGGAAACUGAGACUAAUACCCCAUAAUAUUGGUUUAUUAAGAUGGUAUACCAAUUAAAGCUCCGGCGCUUAAGGAUGGGUGUGCGUCCCAUUAGCUAGUUGGUGAGGUAACGGCUCACCAAGGCGACGAUGGGUAGGGGGCGUGAGAGCGUGGACCCCCACACUGGUACUGAGACACGGACCAGACUCCUACGGGAGGCAGCAGUGAGGAAUAUUGGUCAAUGGGCGCAAGCCUGAACCAGCCAUCCCGCGUGAAGGAAGACUGCCCUAUGGGUUGUAAACUUCUUUUAUGUACCAAGAAUGUGAGCUACGUGUAGCUUUUUGACGGUAGUACAUGAAUAAGCAUCGGCUAACUCCGUGCCAGCAGCCGCGGUAAUACGGAGGAUGCGAGCGUUAUCCGGAUUCAUUGGGUUUAAAGGGUGUGUAAGGCGGCUUAUUAAGUCAGUGGUGAAAUCCUGCGGCUCAACCGUAGAACUGCCAUUGAUACUGAUAAGCUUGAAUAUAGUUGAGGUAGGGCGGAAUAUGUAAUGUGGCGGUGAAAUGCUUAGAUAUUACAUAGAACACCGAUUGCGAAGGCAGCUUACUAAGCUAUAACUGACGCUGAGGCACGAAAGCGUGGGUAUCGAACAGGAUUUAGAUACCCCUGCUACUCCACGCUGUAAACGAUGAUCACUCGAUAUUGGUUUUCGGCCAGUGUCCAAUCGAAAGCGUUUAAUGAUUCACCUGGGGAGUACUCUCCCAAGAGGUGAAACUCAAAGGAAUUGACGGGGGCCCGCACAAGCGGUGGAGCAUGUGGUUUAAUUCGAUGAUACGCGAGGAACCUUACCAGGGUUUAAAUGUAGGACGACAGGUGUGGAAACACACUUUUCUUCGGACGGCCUACAAGGUGCUGCAUGGUUGUCGUCAGCUCGUGCCGUGAGGUGUCGGGUUAAGUCCCAUAACGAGCGCAACCCCUACUUCUAGUUGCCAGCGGAUAAUGCCGGGGACUCUAGAGGAACUGCCAGCGUAAGCUGAGAGGAAGGUGGGGAUGACGUCAAAUCAUCACGGCCCUUACAUCCUGGGCUACACACGUGCUACAAUGGUAGAGACAAUGAGCAGCCAACCGGCGACGGUGAGCUAAUCUUCAAACUCUAUCUCAGUUCGGAUCGGAGUCUGCAACUCGACUCCGUGAAGCUGGAAUCGCUAGUAAUCGCGCAUCAGCCAUGGCGCGGUGAAUACGUUCCCGGGCCUUGUACACACCGCCCGUCAAGCCAUGGAAGCUGGGGGCGCCUGAAGUCGGUCACCGAAAGGAGCUGCCUAGGGCGAAACUAGUAACUGGGGCUAAGUCGUAACAAGGUAGCCGU
rnacentral:rRNA from 1 species